rnacentral:rRNA from 1 species
UACGGGGGGGGUAAGCGUUGUUCGGAAUUACUGGGCGUAAAGGGCUCGUAGGCGGCCAACUAAGUCGGACGUGAAAUCCCUCAGCUUAACUGGGGAACUGCGUCCGAUACUGGAUGGCUUGGAUUCGGGAGAGGAAUGCGGAAUUCCAGGUGUAGCGGUGAAAUGCGUAGAUAUCGAGAGGAACACCUGCGGCGAAGGCGGGUUGCUGGGCCGACACUGACGCUGAUGCGCGAAAGCCAGGGGAGCGAACGGG